ACUUGCCGGAUGCCUCAUUAUACACUGUUUAUACAAGCUGUGUGCUUUCACAGGAUUCCUCGGCGGCGUUAAAAGAGACGGGAGAGGGUGAGCGGCACCUUACACUUCGGCCCAUUACACAGGGCUGAAAAUAUGCCAAGAGUGUGUGCCCUUGUGCGCCAUUGGGUGCUCAGUUCAACUUGAGAAUUUACGAGGGAACAAGCUUUUAUGACAUCAUGCAGUUCUCCUGUUUAAACAGACUUAUCUGGAGGGGGAAGGUGCAUUAUAAACUGAGGAGCACUCCAGUUUGGAAUUUCAGCGGUAUUGUGGUUUCUAGGAUCCAAUAUAUCCUAGCAACUAGGCAGUGAUUUGAAUAAAGGUUGCCAAACAUGUUAAGAUCCGCUCAUUAGGUGAGGUUGCCAAACAUGCAGAUCUUCUCCUUAUAUGCCGACAAAGGUAUAGGAGCUGCCAAACCGAGGACUGCAUCAAUGAGCCAAUGCGGUCCCCAAUCUGAUGGGAAAAUUAAAUCUGGAAUAAAAAGGUGGAGAAGGUCCUCCCUCUUCUAUUA